rnacentral:rRNA from 1 species
AUACGGAGGGUGCAGGCGUUAAUCGGAAUUACUGGGCGUAAAGCGUACGUAGGCGGUCCGUUAAGUUAGAUGUGAAAGCCCCGGGCUUAACCUGGGAACUGCAUUUAAAACUGGCGAACUAGAGUUGAGUAGAGGGGAGUGGAAUUUCAGGUGUAGCGGUGAAAUGCGUAGAGAUCUGAAGGAACACCAGUGGCGAAGGCGACUCCCUGGACUCGAACUGACGCUGAGGUACGAAAGCGUGGGUAGCAAACGGGAUUAGAAACCCUAGUAGUCC